UAAAGUCUCUGUCUUCUAGAAUAUGGAUUUGUUGAUUUUCAUAAGCUAUCAGAUCGAUGGAAAACAAGUCCCUUCAUCUUCAUGAUCAUUUGAAACUUCAAUUAACGCAGUAAGUUCUUCUUGCAAAUAUAUAGGAAAUCCAUUAUUUAUUGAUUAAUUAUUUCAUUUUCUUCAUCUUAAUUGGAGCUACACACACACACACACACACAUAUGGUUUCAGGUUCAAUUUGUGCAGUUUUACAGUCGAGAGCUCAAGCUUCCAGGGAACAACUCCUUAAUCUUAAUUCAACUUCAACUGAAACCAGAUCCUUUGAAGCCAGUGACCUCUUGAUCUGACGACUUCCAUUGCAGCUGUGACUACUUCUGAGUCUUGAUUGGUAUUGUUGGACGGAUCAAACUUCCAAUGCAAGAAACUAUGGGGGGAGAGGCUUUUCUUGUGGCAUUCCUUCAAGUGCUGGUUGACAAGUUGGCACAACGCGAGGUCUUCAAGUACUUUGGACUUGUAAAGGGCGUAGAUCAAAAACUGAAGAAAUGGAGUGCCACCUUGUCUGCAAUUGGAGUGGUGCUGAAUGCCGCAGAGGAGAGGCAACUGAUGGUUGAGAACAACGCACUGAAACUCUGGCUAGAUGAUCUCAGGGACUUGGCUUUUGAUGUGGAAGACUUGUUGGACAAAUAUGCUACUAAAAUGUUGAAUCGUCAGACACAACAUGCUGAUUCCAGCACAACAAGCAAAGUAUGGAACUCAAUUCCUAAUGGUGUUUUCAACUUCAACAUGAACUCAGAAAUAUAGAAGAUUAGUGAGCGAUAAGGAGUUAGCGGGGAAGAAGUUUUUAAUUGUUUAGAUGAUGUUUGGAAAACGUGUAGCUAAGGUGAAUGGAUGAAACUGCAGUCCCCUUUUCGUGAUGGAGAACAAGGAAGCAAGAUAAUUGUGACAACACAUGAUACAGAUGUUUCAAAAAUGAUGGGAGCUGCCACGCUGGUUCACAAUUUGGAGCCUAUGGAAAGUAAUGUUUGUUUGCAAGUAUUUGAGCAGCAUGCAUUCUUAAAUUCUAACGAAGACAAACCACCAAAUUACGAGUUGCUUAAGGAGAAAAUUGUUGCCAAGUGUAGGGGAUUGUCUUUGGCCGCAAGGACCCUCGGUGGUGUUCUACUUCAUAAAGACACAUACGAAUGGGAGGACAUAUUGAACAACAAACUGUGGAGUCUAUCAAAUGAGCAUGGGAUACUUCCAGUACUGAGAUUAACCUACUUUUAUCUUCCUUCACAUUUGAAAAAUGCUUUGCCUAUUGCUCAAUA